rnacentral:rRNA from 1 species
GGAGGGGGCGAGCGUUAUUCGGAAUUAUUGGGCGUAAAGGGCGCGUAGGCGGCUUGGCAAGUCAAAGGUGAAAUCCCUCGGCUCAACUGAGGAACUGCCUUUGAAACUGCCUGGCUUGAGGCCGGGAGGGGGUAGCGGAAUUCCCAGUGUAGCGGUGAAAUGCGUAGAUAUUGGGAGGAACACCAGUGGCGAAGGCGGCUACCUGGACCGGUUCUGACGCUGAUGCGCGAAAGCGUGGGUAGCAAACAGGAUUAGAUACCCUGGUAGUCCACGCUGUAAACGAUGGGUGCUCGGUGUCGCGGGUAUCGACCCCUGCGGUGCCUUAGCCAACGCGUUAAGCACCCCGCCUGGGGAGUACGGUCGCAAGGCUGAA